rnacentral:rRNA from 1 species
GACGAACGCUGGCGGCGUGCUUAACACAUGCAAGUCGAACGGACAGGCCCUGCUUUUGUUGGGUGCUCGAGUGGCGAACGGGUGAGUAACACGUGUGUAACCUGCCCCUGACUUUGGGAUAACUUCAGGAAACUGGGGCUAAUACCGGAUAGGAGCUCCUGCUGCAUGGUGGGGGUUGGAAAGUUUCGGCGGUUGGGGAUGGACUCGCGGCUUAUCAGCUUGUUGGUGGGGUAGUGACUUACCAAGGCUUUGACGGGUAGCCGGCCUGAGAGGGUGACCGGCCACAUUGGGACUGAGAUACGGCCCAGACUCCUACGGGAGGCAGCAGUGGGGAAUAUUGCACAGUGGGCGGAAGCGUGAUGCAGCAACGCCGCGUGCGGGAUGACGGCCUUCGGGUUGUAAACCGCUUUCGCCUGUGACGAAGCGUGAGUGACGGUAAUGGGUAAAGAAGCACCGGCUAACUACGUG